rnacentral:rRNA from 1 species
GCUCAUCGCAUCCUGGGGCUGUAGUCGGUCACAAGGGUUGGGCUGUUCGCCCAUAAAAGCGGUACGCGAGCUGGGUUCAGAACGUCGUGAGACAGUUCUGUCCCUAUCCGUCGUGGGCGUAGGAAAUUUGAGAGGAGCUGUCCUUAGUACGAGAGGACCGGGAUGGACAUACCUCUGGUGUACCAGUUGUCGUGCCUACGGCAUAGCUGGGUAGCUAUGUGUGGACGGGAUAAGUGCUGAAAGCAUCUAAGCAUGAAGCCCCCCUCAAUAUGAUAUUUCCCAACUUCGGU